GGCCAUAAGGGAAGGACUCCAGGGCCUCUGCCUCUCCCUGCCGAUACAGAGACACGGAUGUAGCAGCUACACCCAACCACAGCUUCUGGGAAAAACUCCCUGUCGAACUCUAGAGUGAGGAAGAGGGUGAAGACAGACAUUUACUUUUCAAACCUGACUGAGCUUCUCCUGCAUCCUUCGGACCACCUGGUGAGGGUCAAGUGAAAGUGGGUUGAAAAGACAGAUGGACACACAAAUGGUUAAACUUUAAGAGUGAAAUCAAAAGAGGGAGAAAUGUAAUUUCUGUGAUUUCACUUGACUCCAGAUUAGGCUAGGAAGUUUUGAACAGGAACACAUGAGAAGCUGAAAGAUUGAGAAAAGUUGUGCUAUAAAUUAAAAUAAAGAUAAAUGCACCCAAACCUCAUUGGCGGUAGUGUGUGAGCUGAUGUAGAGCUGGCAGGAUCCAGGGCC